CUGGAGGAAUACCGGUGGCGAAGGCGGCCCCCUGGACGAAGACUGACGCUCAGGUGCGAAAGCGUGGGGGCAAACAGGAUUAGAUACCCUGGUAGUCCACGCCGUAAACGAUGUCGACUUGGAGGUUGUGCCCUUGAGGCGUGGCUUCCGGAGUAACGCGUUAAGUCGACCGCCUGGGGAGUACGGCCGCAAGGUUAAAACUCAAAUGAAUUGACGGGGGCCCGCACAAGCGGUGGAGCAUGUGGUUUAAUUCGAUGCAACGCGAAGAACCUUACCUGGUCUUGACAUCCACAGAACUUUCCAGAGAUGGAUUGGUGCUUCGGGAACUGUGAG
rnacentral:rRNA from 1 species